rnacentral:lncRNA from 1 species
UUAAAGAACUUGUAAGGGUGGAUGAGGCCAAGAGCACUAAGUCAGGACAUGGAAAACACUAAAAGAAGCAACAAGAAGUCAUAGCAGUAACAAAAGAAGUCAGCUGCUGGUAACCAGCCUGCUGUCACAGGUUUCCCAGGGAGGGCUAAGAUGGAAAGGGCAGAGGAGGACACAGCUGUCUCUGCGGAGAGCGGGGCCUGCGCUGCAUUUGAGGAGGUGGCUAGAGAGCUGCAGAGCUUCAGCAUCCUUAUAAAUACACACUGCUGUUGAGCACGUCCAGAUACUGAACACAACGGCUAUGGAGAACUGAGUUCACAGCCUGACCUCAAGUGUGCACUGAAAGCAAACCUGCUUUGGUUUUCUUAUCACGAAUCCCUUAAAGAUAAAAAAAACUUUAGAGAUGUUAUGACGCCUCUUCCGAGAUAUGUGUAGAAUGAGAAACUUGGCUCUCUACACUAUGGAUCAGCAAACAGAAGGAUACUUUGCCCGCAUCAGAUGACACUUACCUUGUCUGAAGUCUGAUUCCGAGGAAAUAACAGAUGGGCUUUCACUGGAAAUACUAAAGAUAUCGCUGUGGGAACCGUAAACAAAUCAUAAAUCCAAAGAUGCAAGUUUCAGGACAGAGAAACCAG